rnacentral:rRNA from 1 species
AUACAGAGGGUGCGAGCGUUGUUCGGAAUCACUGGGCGUAAAGCGCGCGCAGGCGGGACCUGCAAGUCGGGAGUGAAAGGCCGGGGCUCAACCCCGGAGCUGCUUUCGAGACUGCGGACCUGGAGACCAGUAGGGGUUGGUGGAAUUCCCGGUGUAGCGGUGGAAUGCGUAGAUAUCGGGAAGAACACCCGUGGCGAAGGCGACCAACUGGGCUGGAUCUGACGCUGAGGCGCGAAAGCGUGGGGAGCAAACAGGAUUAGAUACCCUGGUAGUCCACGCCGUAAACGAUGGGCACUAGGUGCCGGGGGGAGCGACCCCGUCGGUGCCGCAGCUAACGCAUUAAGUGCCCCGCCUGGGGAGUACGGCCGCAAGGCUGAA